rnacentral:rRNA from 1 species
GAUGAACGUUAGCGGGAGGCUUAAUACAUGCAAGUCGAGCGGUAAGUUUUUAUAGCAAUAUGAAGACCUAGAGCGGCGCACGGGUGAGUAACGCGUACACGACCUGGCCUAAACUGGGGGAUAGCCUUGGGAAACUGAGAGUAAUCCCGCAUGUGAUUAUGUUACUGAUGGUGAUAUAAUUAAAGCUUCGGCGGUUUAGGAUGGGUGUGCGUCUGAUUAGCUAGUUGGUAGUGUAACGGACUACCAAGGCGAUGAUCAGUAGGGGGCGUGAGAGCGUGACCCCCCACACGGGUACUGAGACACGGACCCGACUCCUACGGGAGGCAGCAGUAAGGAAUAUUGGUCAAUGCCGGGAAGGGUGAACCAGCCAUCCCGCGUGAAGGAUGAAGGGGCUCUGCCUUGUAAACUUCUUUUGUAUGGGGCGAAAAAAGGGGAUUUAUCCUCGACUGACGGUACCAUAAGAAUAAGCACCGGCUAACUCCGUGCCAGCAGCCGCGGUAAU